GACAAGGGAGGAAUAUGUAAGAAAGAAGAAAGAGGGGUAAAGACAUAACUUUGGGGGACACUGGGAGAAUAUAAGGAAGAAGUGCCAUGAAAAGCACAGUUAGGGGAGUGGAUAGAGCAGAGAAGUGCCAGAAACCAGGAAGCAGGCCUGGAUGCUG